AGCGAACGCUGGCGGCGUGCCUAACACAUGCAAGUCGAACGUGAAAGGGGGCAACCCUGAGUAAAGUGGCGUACGGGUGAGUAACACGUAGGUAAUCUACCCCAAAAUCUGGAAUAACCUGCCGAAAGGCGGGCUAAUACUGGAUAGAGCGACGGAAUCCGUAAUUGGGUUUUUCGGGAAAGGGAGCUCGCAAGAGCCUUCGUUUUGGGAUGAGCCUGCGUCUCAUUAGCUAGUUGGUGAGGUAAUGGCUCACCAAGGCUUUGAUGGGUAGCUGGUCUGAGAGGAUGAUCAGCCACACUGGAACUGAAACACGGUCCAGACUCCUACGGGAGGCAG
rnacentral:rRNA from 1 species